GCAGUCUAAUCAAGAUAUAAUUCACCAAAUUGGCUAAUGUUGGGUAUAAAAUACCCUCAGCCAAAGUUCUUAACAGGAUUGACCCUCCCAAGACCCCUCCGGCUUUCGAUCGCAGACGGUAUCUCCCCGGACUUCUCCAACAGCUGGAUUCCCACAGUGCUGACUGAAUUCCCCCGACGGACGAACUCCCACUACACCACCCGAGCUCCUUCAACAUGAGUUCCCCCAGUUAUCUAUUAAACCGCCCUAAGCGCUCACUAAGCUCCACCGCCAGCCAACUUUCUACGACUAUCAGCUACUCCCUAAAUCCCUUCCAGACUUCUUCCAGCCAGGUUCAACUCCAAUCCGAACUACCCCGGACUUUGCCAAUGGCUGAACUUCUCCAACGGUAGAUUCCU
rnacentral:lncRNA from 1 species